rnacentral:tRNA from 1 species
GCGGAAGUGGUGGAACUGGUAGACGCGCUAGAUUCAGGUUCUAGUGGGUGCAAGCCUGUGGGGGUUCGAGUCCCCCCUUCCGCA